GAAAUAGAGAGGCCAUGUAAAAAGACUCAAACUGCAAGUUUAAUCUCAGACUGAGUGAUUAAUCCCAUAAAUGAUCAACUAUUCCUCCUUGUUAACCGUUCAUCACAGGGUGGAAGCAUCCUCCACCUCCAUGAAUUGAAAGGAAAUACUAGCAAACAUAUAUGUCACACAAAAGAGCAAAAUAAAUCUACAUAGAACCUAGUCGAAAUUACUUUACAAUCAAAUAAGCAUUCUAAGCUUUAAGGACAUAUUUGAUGUCAAUUGUAUAGCUGAAAUUCUUCCAGGUUUUCUUGUUCAUCAGCAACCUUGUUAUGUCUUCUAGAAGAAUAGGAAAGUUAAAGGCUUUCUCCUACAAUCUCAAUAUGAUGGAAGGACAAAGGCAACCUACAUGGGAUGAGAGGACAAACACGUUGAGGGCAUGCCACGUUCAAUACAUGUGUGUCUGUCAGUUUCAUAAUAUAGCUAUCCUUAAUCCAAUUGCAGUUUCAUUUUCUCUUUUUGCCUCCUAGGGUUUAACUCUUCAUCUACUCUUUGCAUUUGCAGCUUCAAUUCUACCAUUGAGCUUUAAAAACAGAGGUGAAAGAGCACUUACUAAUAUGCAUAAACAACAAUUAUUAUGAAAAACAACCCACAGAGUAACUAAAUUUAUCUCAGGCAUGUGUGUUCAAUUUUUUUCUUUCAAACCUUUUGUUGGAAAUGGCUUGGCGUGCUGGGGGCAUGUAAAUGCAUGUACUGAAUGUCCAACACGGCAUGCCCAAUUAAACGCAUUAGAGAGCUUCAUAGACUAGAGAUAUCAAUUGAGGCAGCCCUCCUUAUAUGGGAAAAUCAAGAUUGCAUUCCCUUUUGUAUGAUUCUUACUAUGGGCACUAACCUUAAAUAUGUCCCUUUCUAAUUAAAGCACCAGCCAAAGCAAUGACAAGUG
rnacentral:misc_RNA from 1 species